AGAGCGAACGCUGGCGGCAGGCCUAAUACAUGCAAGUCGAGCGGUCCCUUCGGGGGCAGCGGCGGACGGGUGAGUAACGCGUGGGAACGUGCCCUUUGGUACGGAACAACUGAGGGAAACUUCAGCUAAUACCGUAUGUGCCCUUCGGGGGAAAGAUUUAUCGCCAUUGGAGCGGCCCGCGUUGGAUUAGGUAGUUGGUGAGGUAAAGGCUCACCAAGCCUACGAUCCAUAGCUGGUCUGAGGGAUGAUCAGCCACACUGGGACUGAGACACGGCCCAGACUCCUACGGGAGGCAGCAGUAGGGAAUCUUGCGCAAUGGGCGAAAGCCUGACGCAGCCAUGCCGCGUGAAUGAUGAAGGUCUUAGGAUUGUAAAAUUCUUUCACCGGGACGAUAAUGACGGUACCGGAGAAGAAGCCCGGCUAACUUCGUGCCAGCAGCCGC
rnacentral:rRNA from 1 species